CCCUUGGUACAAUAUUGACGAUCUCACAAAGAUUUUUUUUCAGUGAAUUUCCAUUUACUGAUUUCAUCUUUUACGGAAUCGCCCCCCCCCCCCCCUGACUGUACAAGAAUAUGCGGAGCUCAGCAUGUCUGGAAGCACGGGAGACCGUUCUUUUGCUGAUAUUAUUACCAGUAUUCGAUACUGGGUCAUUCAUAGCAUUACUAUACCUUCCUUAUUUAUUGCGGGUUGGUUAUUCGUCAGCACGGGUUUAGCUUACGAUGUAUUUGGAAGCCCUCGUCCAAACGAGGAUUUUACAGAAAGCCGACAAGGAAUUUCAUUAAUAACUGGCCGUUUUGAUCCUUUGGAACAACUCGAUGAAUUUAGUAGAUCUUUUUAGGAGGCCCCAAUGACUAUAGAUAGAACCUAUCCAAUUUUUACAGUGCGAUGGUUGGCUGUUCACGGACUAGCUGUACCUACCGUUUCUUUUUUAGGGUCAAUAUCAGCAAUGCAGUUCAUCCAACGAUAAACCUAAUCCGAAUCAUAGAGCUACGACACAAUCAAACCCGAACGAACAAAGUGUUGAAUUGAAUCGUACCAGUCUCUACUGGGGGUUAUUACUCAUUUUUGUACUUGCUGUUUUAUUUUCCAAUUAUUUCUUUAAUUAAAAAAAAGAAUAUAAGAAUUCUCUUAUCCCAUUCGGAAAGAUAUCAUCUCAUAAUUAUCUAUGGCUGUUUAUGUCUCGAGCAUGACCACUUGAUAAAAUGUGGAGGAAAGUAGGACAAAUGGCCGAUACUACUGGAAGGAUUCCUCUUUGGAUAAUAGGUACUGUAGCGGGUAUUCUUGUGAUCGGUUUAAUCGGUAUUUUCUUUUAUGGUUCCUAUUCUGGAUUAGGUUCAUCCCUGUAAUAAUCGGAUGAACUGAGUUGUAGACAUGAAAGCAUAAGAACUCAACGGGAUCCCCCUCGAAUCAGACAAGGAAAGAGGGGGUAGGUCCCGUUGAGUUCUUAAUAAUCAUAAUAUUUUUUUAUAGAUGUUUCAAAAACCUCCACUUUUUCUGAUAAUGUUUUUGAAAAAUUAACUUCGUUAAGGGAUUCAGAACAUCUGUUACUCAAUAGUAUCUGUCAAUACUUAAAACGAAGAAGGAAUCACUCUAUUUACUCUUUUUGGAUGACUCACAAUUAUAUAUACUAUAUAUUUCUAUCGAUCAGAUAUCAUGCAAACCCUUUCUAUACUAAUAGCAUAGAACCUUACUCUAUUUAAUCUAACAAAUAUUUAAUCUAAUAAAAGUUAAAAAUUUUUUUUUUUUGAAAUUGAAGAAGUUCUAUUUGCUCAAUAAACUUACCUAUAUUUAUUUUUGUUUGUCCACUACCACUAUUUACGUAAUAAAUCUAAAAAAGAUUAUGAUAAACCUAUAAAAAAAUUUAAACUAAAAAUAGAAAUUUUUUACGAACGGGAUCAAGAAUUAUUAUUAAUUCGACACAAGAAAGGGUUGUGGAAAAUUCCGUUUCUUGUGUCAAGGACUAGUAGACGAACAAUCCCCCCUAAAAUCCUUUGUUCCUCUCAUUUAUACUUUGGUUUAUAUUCUCCGCUUAUUUAUCUUUUGUUUUGAUUCUAUUCAAAUAUAAAACUAUGGAUUCGUUCUAUAUCAUACCGUUUGAAUUUGGAUUGAAAAAACAAAUAAAUAAAGAAGAGUUAAGUAAAAUCAAAUAGUCUUCUUCACAAUAUACUAUGACCAGUAAUGCGGUAUAAGUAAUUCCCGAAAUCCGGUAGAAGAAAGAAUAUAAACAAGCAAAAUUUUUUUGAUUAUACAUAAUUACAUAACAUAAUUGCCAACAAAAAUUUGUUUAUUUUUAGAGCUUGAUGUUGAUAAAUCCGCGGAUCUAGAAAUUCAUUUCGGACAAUUGAACCUUCUCA
rnacentral:lncRNA from 1 species